UAGCGCCUCGUGAAUUCAUCUCCGGGGGUAGAGCACUGUUUCGGCUAGGGGGCCAUCCCGGCUUACCAACCCGAUGCAAACUGCGAAUACCGGAGAAUGUUAUCACGGGAGACACACGGCGGGUGCUAACGUCCGUCGUGAAGAGGGAAACAACCCAGACCGCCAGCUAAGGUCCCAAAGUCAUGGUUAAGUGGGAAACGAUGUGGGAAGGCCCAGACAGCCAGGAUGUUGGCUUAGAAGCAGCCAUCAUUUAAAGAAAGCGUAAUAGCUCACUGGUCGAGUCGGCCUGCGCGGAAGAUGUAACGGGGCUAAACCAUGCACCGAAGCUGCGGCAGCGACACUGUGUGUUGUUGGGUAGGGGAGCGUUCUGUAAGCCUGUGAAGGUGUGUCGUGAGGCAUGCUGGAGGUAUCAGAAGUGCGAAUGCUGACAUAAGUAACGAUAAAGCGGGUGAAAAGCCCGCUCGCCGGAAGACCAAGGGUUCCUGUCCAACGUUAAUCGGGGCAGGGUGAGUCGACCCCUAAGGCGAGGCCGAAAGGCGUAGUCGAUGGGAAACGGGUUAAUAUUCCCGUACUUGGUGUUACUGCGAAGGGGGGACGGAGAAGGCUAUGUUGGCCGGGCGACGGUUGUCCCGGUUUAAGCGUGUAGGUGUGUGUUCCAGGUAAAUCCGGUUCACUUUAACACUGAGGCGUGACGACGAGGCACUACGGUGCUGAAGCAACAAAUGCCCUGCUUCCAGGAAAAGCCUCUAAGCAUCAGGUAACAUCAAAUCGUACCCCAAACCGACACAGGUGGUCAGGUAGAGAAUACCAAGGCGCUUGAGAGAACUCGGGUGAAGGAACUAGGCAAAAUGGUGCCGUAACUUCGGGAGAAGGCACGCUGACACGUAGGUGAAGUGAUUUACUCAUGGAGCUGAAGUCAGUCGAAGAUACCAGCUGGCUGCAACUGUUUAUUAAAAACACAGCACUGUGCAAACACGAAAGUGGACGUAUACGGUGUGACGCCUGCCCGGUGCCGGAAGGUUAAUUGAUGGGGUCAGCGCAAGCGAAGCUCCUGAUCGAAGCCCCGGUAAACGGCGGCCGUAACUAUAACGGUCCUAAGGUAGCGAAAUUCCUUGUCGGGUAAGUUCCGACCUGCACGAAUGGCGUAAUGAUGGCCAGGCUGUCUCCACCCGAGACUCAGUGAAAUUGAACUCGCUGUGAAGAUGCAGUGUACCCGCGGCAAGACGGAAAGACCCCGUGAACCUUUACUAUAGCUUGACACUGAACAUUGAGCCUUGAUGUGUAGGAUAGGUGGGAGGCUUUGAAGUGUGGACGCCAGUCUGCAUGGAGCCGACCUUGAAAUACCACCCUUUAAUGUUUGAUGUUCUAACGUGGACCCGUUACCCGGGUUGCGGACAGUGUCUGGUGGGUAGUUUGACUGGGGCGGUCUCCUCC
rnacentral:rRNA from 2 species